UUCGGUUCCAUUGGAAGUGAACUCUUUACAAUUGAACUAGUGGCAAAUUCAUUUCCUUACUCUAGUCGAAGUCACUAUUUAGCUCGCGCUCACAAUGAGACUUAUAAAAUUGUGAAAGUUCCAGUGCUGAAUGAAAGUUUACAAUCAAUACCUGAAGUAGUUUAUCCGGAAUUGCUGUUAAUAAUUGACUAUAAGAUGUAUGCAAAGUACAACAAAAACCAAAAACUGUUUCCUUACUUAUUAACGUUUUGGAAUAUUGUUAAUAUAAUAUUUCGGUCAUUGAGAGAUCCAAAAAUAAAAAUAAGUAUCAGUGGGAUCAUGAUAGCUCAAGAUGAUAAAGUUAUUCAUUAUAUGAGUGGCAAUCAUUCUGAAUAUGAAGAAACAUCUCAUAUAAGCUACGGAGAAACUAUGAUCAACGCAUCUGCAUAUUUAUACAGUAGACAAAAUAUUAUUCCACUUGAUACUUAUGAUAUAUUUGUAAUAUC